CCUUACUGCUAUCGGGGGAGGACUAAAACAUGCAAGUCGUGCGCCUCCAAGCUAUGAUGGAGACGCGGCGUACAGCUCAGUAACACGUGGCUAACCCACCCUUGAGACGGAGACAACCCCGGGAAACUGGGGCUAAUCCCUGAUAGGAGAAGAUACCUGGAAGGGGUCUUCUCCCAAAAGGCGCUUAGAUCAUGCUUCUAGAUGUCGCCCAAGGAGGGGGCCGCGGCCGAUCAGGUUGUUGGUGAGGUAACGGCUCACCAAGCCUUUGACCGGUACGGGCCGUGAGAGCGGUAGCCCGGAGAUGGGUACUGAGACAAGGGCCCAGGCCCUACGGGGCGCAGCAGUCGCGAAAACUCACCAAUUCACGAAAGUGUGAGUGGGCCAUCCCGAGUGCCGUCCGCUGAGGAUGGCUUUUCCUUAGUGUACAAAGCUGGGGGAAUAAGGAGAGGGCAAGUCUGGUGUCAGCCGCCGCGGUAAUACCAGCUCUCCGAGUGGUGGGGACGAUUAUUGGGCUUAAAGCGUUCGUAGCCGGCUUAACAAGUCUUCCGUUAAAUCCAACGAUCUAAUCGUUGGGCUGCGGGAGAUACUGUUGGGCUAGGAGGCGGGAGAAGCCGACGGUAUUCUCGGGGUAGGGGUGAAAUCCUGUAAUCCCGGGAGGACCACCAGUGGCGAAGGCGGUCGGCUAGAACGCGCUCGACGGUGAGGGACGAAAGCUGAGGGAGCGAACCGGAUUAGAAACCCGGGUAGUCCCAGCUGUAAACGAUGCGGGCUAGGUGUUGGGGUGGCCACGAGCCACUUCAGUGCCGCAUGGAAGCAAUUAAGCCCGCCGCCUGGGGAGUACGGCCGCAAGGCUGAAACUUAAAGGAAUUGGCGGGGGAGCACCACAAGGCGUGAAGCUUGCGGUUU
rnacentral:rRNA from 1 species